AAGUCGUAACAAGGUUUCCGUAGGUGAACCUGCGGAAGGAUCAUUAACGAGUCCAGGCGGGCGACGCCCCGGCGCCGCCCGCCCACCUCACCACCCGUGUCUACACUACCCCGUUGCUUCGGCGGUUUUCGCGGCAUCGCGGCCGCCGAAGACCCCCUCGAACUCUGCCUGGAAGGUUGCAGUCUGAGCGAUAAACAAAACAAACAAAACUUUCAACAACGGAUCUCUUGGUUCCG
rnacentral:misc_RNA from 1 species